rnacentral:tRNA from 1 species
GCGACUGUAGCUCAAUGGCAGAGCAUUGGUCUGUGGCUCCAAAGGUUGCAGGUUCGAAUCUUGUCUUUCGCC